AGCAUAUCAAUAAGCGGAGGAAAAGAAACUAACAAGGAUUCCCCUAGUAACUGCGAGUGAAGCGGGAAAAGCUCAAAUUUUAAAUCUGAUAGUCUUUGAUUGUCCGAGUUGUAAUCUAGAGAAGUGUUAUCCGCGUUGGACCGUGUACAAGUCUCCUGGAAUGGAGCGUCAUAGAGGGUGAGAAUCCCGUCUUUGGCACGGACUACCAAGGCUUUGUGAUGCGCUCUCAAAGAGUCGAGUUGUUUGGGAAUGCAGCUCAAAAUGGGUGGUAAAUUCCAUCUAAAGCUAAAUAUUGGCGAGAGACCGAUAGCGAACAAGUACCGUGAGGGAAAGAUGAAAAGAACUUUGGAAAGAGAGUUAAACAGUACGUGAAAUUGCUGAAAGGGAAACGCUUGAAGUCAGUCGCGUUGUUCAGAACUCAACCUUACUUUUGUUGGGUGUAUUUUCUGUUUAACGGGUCAGUAUCAAUUUUGAUUGUUGGAUAAAGUCCUUUGGAAUGUGGCUUCCUCGGAAGUGUUUAUAGCCUUUGGUCGCAUACAACAGUUGGGAUUGAGGUACUCAGCACGCUGUAAAAGCCGGGUUUCGACCACGUUCGUGCUUAGGAUACUGGCAUAAUGGCUUUAAUCGACCCGUCUUGAAACACGGACCAAGGAGUCUAACAUGCCUGCGAGUGUUUGGGUGGAAAACCCGAGCGCGUAAUGAAAGUGAUAGUUGAGAUCCCUGUCGUGGGGAGCAUUGACGCCCGGACCAGACCUUUUGUGACGGAUCCGCGGUAGAGCAUGUAUGUUGGGACCCGAAAGAUGGUGAACUAUGCCUGAAUAGGGUGAAGCCAGAGGAAACUCUGGUGGAGGCUCGUAGCGAUUCUGACGUGCAAAUCGAUCGUCAAAUUUGGGUAUAGGGGCGAAAGACUAAUCGAACCAUCUAGUAGCUGGUUCCUGC
rnacentral:rRNA from 1 species